GAUAAACGCUGGCGGCGCACAUAAGACAUGCAAGUCGAACGGACCAAAACUUUAGUUUACUAUAGUAGAGGUUAGUGGCGGACUGGUGAGUAACACGUAAGCAAUCUGCCUAUCAGAGGGGAACAACAGUUAGAAAUGACUGCUAAUACCGCAUAUGCCUAAGUAACACAUGUUACAAUGGGAAAGGAGCAAUCCGCUGAUAGAUGAGCUUGCGUCUGAUUAGAUAGUUGGUGGGGUAACGGCCUACCAAGUCGACGAUCAGUAGCCGGACUGAGAGGUUGAACGGCCACAUUGGGACUGAGAUACGGCCCAGACUCCUACGGGAGGCAGCAGUCGGGAAUAUUGCGCAAUGGAGGAAACUCUGACGCAGUGACGCCGCGUGCAGGAAGAAGGUUUCGGAUUGUAAACUGCUUUAGACAGGGAAGAAAAAGACAGUACCUGUAGAAUAAGCUCCGGCUAACUACGUG
rnacentral:rRNA from 1 species